UGAAAGCAAUCUGGAAAAAACUGGCUCGACCAAAGAAUAAGACGGAGAAAGAGAAUAAUUAAGAAGAGAAGGAGCAUACCGAUGUUUCCUCAAAAACUUCCCAAACUCUUUAAAACCUUUCUCUUUCUUUAAAGAUUCUUUUUCUUCUCUCCUUAAAACAUCUUUAUCCUUUUCUUUAAUAUUUUUAAAAU
rnacentral:ribozyme from 13 species